GACGAACGCUGGCGGCGUGCUUAACACAUGCAAGUCGAACGGAAAGGCCCUGCUUUUGUUGGGUGCUCGAUUGGCGAACGCGUGAGUAACACGUGAGUAACCUGCCCUUGACUUUGGGAUAACUUCAGGAAACUGGGGCUAAUACCGGAUAGGAGCUCCUGCUGCAUGGUGGGGGUUGGAAAGUUUCGGCGGUUGGGGAUGGACUCGCGGCUUAUCAGCUUGUUGGUGGGGUAGUGGCUUACGAAGGGUUUGACGGGUAGCCGGCCUGAGAGGGGGACCGGCCACAUGGGGACUGAGAUACGGCGCAGACUGCUACGGGAGGCAGCAGGGGGGAAUAUGGCAGAAUGGGCGGAAGCCUGAUGCAGCAAUGCCGCGUGCGGGAUGACGGCCUUCGGGUUGUAAACCGAUUUCGAAUGUGCCGAAGCGUGAGUGACGGUAAUGGGUAAAGAAGCACCGGCUAACUACGUG
rnacentral:rRNA from 1 species